CCUACGGGGCGCAGCAGUAGGGAAUCUUCCACAAUAGGCGCAAGCCUGAUGGAGCAACACCGCGUGAGUGAAGAAGGGUUUCGUCUCGUAAAACUCUGUUGUUGGAGAAGAACGUGCGUGAGAGUAACUGUUCACGCAGCGACGGUAUCCAACCAGAAAGUCACGGCUAACUACGUGCCAGCAGCCGCGGUAAUACGUAGGUGGCAAGCGUUAUCCGGAAUUAUUGGGCGUAAAGAGCGCGCAGGUGGUUAAUUAAGUCUGAUGUGAAAGCCCACGGCUUAACCGUGGAGGGUCAUUGGAAACUG
rnacentral:rRNA from 1 species